AUCUCUGUAGCCCAAAUGGUAGAGCACCGCACAUUUACUUAAAAUCAUGUAAUGAACACAGUUCAAUACUGAUCUUACUUCGCGGAGGAUGGUAGUUCAAAUCUAUCCAGAGAUA